GCUUGUCUCAAAGAUUAAGCCAUGCAGGUGUAUGUAUACACAACUUUAUACUGUGAAACUGCGAAUGGCUCAUUAAAUCAGUUACAGUUUAUUUGAUAGUACCUUACUACUUGGAUAACCGUAGUAAUUCUAGAGCUAAUACAUGCGAAAAGACCCGACUUUUUGGAAGGGUUGUAUUUAUUAGAUCCAACCAGCCCGGUUCGCCGGAGUCCCUGGUGAGUCAUAAUAACUGAGCGAAUCGCAUGGCCUUGUGCCGGCGAUGGUUCAUUCAAGUUUCUGCCCUAUCAGCUUUCGAUGGUAGGGUAUUGGCCUACCAUGGCGUUAACGGGUAACGGAGAAUUAGGGUUCGAUUCCGGAGAGGGAGCCUGAGAAACGGCUACCACAUCCAAGGAAGGCAGCAGG
rnacentral:rRNA from 1 species